AUGGAAGAUGGUGAGCUGAAGUCUCCAUCAUUACAUAUUGUUAAUAAAUCCUCAGUUUACCUCACAGAGCAGUAUCUGGUUUUUCUUCUCCUAUUUUUAAACCAACUUAUAGAUACAGCAAGGAAAGAGUUACUUAUUGGACUAGGUAUUAACAGUGUGAUAACAGAUAAGCUUGUAUUUGGAAGUGGAACCACUCUCACAGUCGAACCAAGCAAUCAGAAAGAUUCUGACCCAGAAGUUGUUCUGAUAAAAUCAAAGGCACUUGAAGAAGGUGGCAGUACUGGGAAAGCAGCUUGUUUGGCAAGGAAUUUCUAUCCGAAGGAUAUCAGUUUGGAAAUGGUACCUCCUGAAGUCAUAUAUGAACAGAAUACACCCACUGUGACAUCAGAGGGGACAUACAAUACUAUUAAAGUGGUCAAUGUGACAAAAAACUCAGAGGUAUCCUGCACGGCCAACUUCAAGAACAAAAAAUUUUCAGCCAAUGCAACAUCAUCAGAAAAGGUGGUUGAAGAACCAAUAUCAUCAAAUGUUUGCAACACCACAGACACUUCUUCAAAAGGAGAUAUCAAAACAGAGAAAACAAACAUGCUGUCCAUGGCUGUGUUGGGUUUACGAGUCCUGCUGGCAAAAAGUAUUGCCUUCAAUACACUCAUGAGCAUCAAGUUGUUUCUUUUCUGAGGCAAAGAGGAAUCAAGGCAGAAGAAAGCUGAGAAACAGCAGGAGAAAGUAGUUACCAGCAGUACAAUUUGAAGAGCUGAUGUUAAAUCUGUUGACAACAACCAUCUAGAACACAGCACAAUGCCAUCUCCUUAAGACAUUUCAGAGUGUGGACUCCUACCUAUAUAGUUUAUGUAGUUUUUAGAGUUGUAAUUGCUUUUGCUACUUCUUGUUUUCUGUGACCAGAGGAAAGUAUUUUUCCUCAUCUGUCAGCUAAGUAGAAAUUGAUCCUUCCACAUUUCUAUCCUUUGCAUGGAAGCAUUCAACCUGCUUUGAUAGUUUUGAAAAAAAAUUGAAACCUCAAUAUCGAUAUAUGAACUUCUAAAAAUACCUUUUUACAACAAUGUUGCAUUAUUCUGUAGAACUGAUAUUUUACUUCUGAGAGAGGCACAGUAGAUGUUAUUUAUAUAUAUAUUUUAAGAUACCUUUAAUAACCAUAAUUUUCUAGUAUAGAUGAGAAGAGCUGCAUUGGAUCUGAAAGGAUGUAUUUCAACCAGAUAAUGUUCAACUGUAGUAACAUUUUUAUUUACAUUUCUUUAUUAAAUUUGUAUCUUUUCUGCAAAGUGUAUGGCAUCUGCUUUUUAUGUUACUGUAGCAAUUAUCAAAAUAAAAUUUUAUUACACCAA